CUGCUGCCUCCCGUAGGAGUCUGGGCCGUGUCUCAGUCCCAGUGUGGGGGGCCUUUCUCUCAGAACCCCUACGCAUCGUCGCCACGGUGGGCCGUCACCCCGCCGUCUAGCUAAUGCGCCGCAUGCCCAUCCGCCACCGGAUCGCUCCUUUGGCCACCGGAGGAUGCCCUCCGGUGGCGUCACGGGGUAUUAGGCCGCGUUUCCGCGGGUUAUCCCCCUGUGGCGGCCAGGUUGCAUACGUGUUACUCACCCGUGCGCCGGUCGCCGGCGGG
rnacentral:rRNA from 1 species